AUGAGUCUACUAUGCUGGAACUGCCGUGGGGCUGGCAAACCCGCGACAGUUCGUGAGUUUCGUGAUCUCACGAGGCAACUUGCCCCCUCUAUAGUUUGUAUUGUUGAGACUCAAAUAGAGGGCUCUCGAGUGGAGAAUAUGGUAGGCUCCUUAGGCUAUGAAAAAAGUUUUGCAGUGAGUAGUUCUGGUAGAAGUGGGGGCCUUGGAAUAUUUUGGAACGAGGAAAUAAAGCUUGAAGUUGUUGGUUAUUCUGAGUAUCACAUUGAUGUUGUUGUUGAGGAGUUAGUGAAUAUUCAGACAAGAAUUACCUUUAUAUAUGGGGAAGCGCAGGUUAGUGAAUGUUACAAAACAUGGGACUUUCUCCGUGGAAUAGCAAGGCUCAACACCAGCCAUGGCUUGUCAUGGGCGAUUUUAAUGAAGUUCUUUUGCCAAUCGAGCAUGACGGAGUUGGAAACAGAAGCCAAGCCCAGAUGGAUUCAUUCCGGCACACACUUGACACUUGUGGCUUAA
rnacentral:rRNA from 1 species